GGUUGCUGUGGAAGGGUCCUGGAAGGUCACAGAGCUAUGGAGUGGUUUGGAUAGAAGGGUCCUGGAAGGUCACAGCAAUACGGAGUGAUUGGGGCGGAAGGGUCCUGGAAGGUCACAGAGAUGUGGGGUGGUUGGGGCGGAAGGGUCCUGGAAGGUCACAGCAAUACGGGGUGGUGGGGCUGGAAGGGUCCUGGAAGGUCAUCACUGAAUGGGUUUUAUUGGAAGGGUCCUGGAAGGUCAUCACUGAGUGGAUGGGAUUGGAAAGGUCCUGGAAGGUCAUCACUAAACGGGUUGGACUGGAAGGGUCCUGGAAGGUCAUCACUGAAUGGAUGGGAUUGGAAAGGUCCUGGAAGGUCAUCUCUGAGUGGGUUGGAUUGGAAAGGUCCUGGAAGGUCUCUGGGAGUGGGUUGGAUUGGAAGGGUCCUGGAAGGCCAUCACUGAACGGGUUGGACUGGAAGGGUCCUGGAAGGUCAGUACUGAAUGGAUGGGGUUGGAAAGGUCCUGGAAGGUCAUUACUGAACAGAUUUAAUUAGAAGGGUCCUGGAAGGUCAUUACUGAAUGGAUGGGAUUGGAAAGGUCUUGGAAGGUCAUCACUAUGCGGGUGGGAUUAGAAGGGUCCUGGAAGGUCACUUCUGAGAGGGUUUGAUUAGAAAGGUCCUGGAAGGUCAUCACUGAAUGGGUUUUAUUGGAAGGGUCCUGGAAGGUCAUCACUGAAUGGGUUUUAUUGGAAGGGUCCUGGAAGGUCAUCACUGAGUGGGUUGGACUGGAAGGGUCCUGGAAGGUCAUCACUGAAUGGAUGGGGUUGGAAAGGUCCUGGAAGGUCAUCACUGAACGGGUUGGACUGGAAGGGUCCUGGAAGGUCAUUACUGAAUGGAUGGGGUUGGAAAGGUCCUGGAAGGUCAUCACUGAAUGGAUGGGGUUGGAAAGGUCCUGGAAGGUCAUCACUGAACAGAUUUAAUUAGAAGGGUCCUGGAAGGUCAUGACUGAAUGAAUGGGAUUGGAAAGGUCCUGGAAGGUCAUCACUGAGCGGGUUGGACUGGAAGGGUCCUGGAAGGUCAUCACUGAACGGGUUUUAUUGGAAGGGUCCUGGAAGGUCACCACUGAGUGGGUUUUAUUGGAAAGGUCCUGGAAGGUCUCUGGGAGAGGGACGGCGGCGCGCCGUGACGCCUCCCAUUGGCGCGCUCCUACCGGAAGUCCCGCCCCCCGCGCAUGCGCAGUGGGAUCCGCGGCGCGCCUGUGAGAUCGGGCGGUUCCGGGAGGAGCGGUGAGAGCGCAG
ensembl:lncRNA